CACCAUGUGCAGUGGCAGUAUCGUAGCCAAUGAGGUUUAUCCGAGGCGCGAUUAUUGCUAAUUGAAAACUUUUCCCAAUUCCUAUCUCAUCUAACCUGUUGGCCACACUUGAUAUAACUGAUCAGCUCUUCUUUCUUGAAAUGCUUUCUUCACAAGC
ensembl:snRNA U4 U4 spliceosomal RNA